rnacentral:rRNA from 1 species
UACAGAGGUCUCAAGCGUUGUUCGGAUUCAUUGGGCGUAAAGCGCGCGUAGGCGGACCUGCAAGUCGGGGGUGAAAGCCCGAGGCUCAACCUCGGAACUGCCUUCGAUACUGCGGGUCUCGAGUCCGGGAGAGGUGAGUGGAAUUCCUAGUGUAGAGGUGAAAUUCGUAGAUAUUAGGAAGAACACCAGUGGCGAAGGCGGCUCACUGGCCCGGUACUGACGCUGAGGCGCGAAAGCGUGGGGAGCAAACAGG